CCGCGGUAAUACGGAGGGAGCUAGCGUUGUUCGGAAUUACUGGGCGUAAAGCGCGCGCAGGCGGUCCUUUAAGUCUGAUGUGAAAGCCCACGGCUCAACCGUGGAGGGUCAUUGGAAACUGGGGGACUUGAGUGCAGAAGAGGAGAGCGGAAUUCCACGUGUAGCGGUGAAAUGCGUAGAGAUGUGGAGGAACACCAGUGGCGAAGGCGGCUCUCUGGUCUGUAACUGACGCUGAGGCGCGAAAGCGUGGGGAGCGAACAGG
rnacentral:rRNA from 1 species